UAGGGAAUCUUCGGCAAUGGACGCAAGUCUGACCGAGCAACGCCGCGUGAGUGAAGAAGGUUUUAGGAUCGUAAAACUCUGUUGUUAGAGAAGAACAAGGACGUUAGUAACUGAACGUCCCCUGACGGUAUCUAACCAGAAAGCCACGGCUAACUACGUGCCAGCAGCCGCGGUAAUACGUAGGUGGCAAGCGUUGUCCGGAUUUAUUGGGCGUAAAGCGAGCGCAGGCGGUUUCUUAAGUCUGAUGUGAAAGCCCCCGGCUCAACCGGGGAGGGUCAUUGGAAACUGGGAGACUUGAGUGCAGAAGAGGAGAGUGGAAUUCCAUGUGUAGCGGUGAAAUGCGUAGAUAUAUGGAGGAACACCAGUGGCGAAGGCGGCUCUCUGGUCUGUAACUGACGCUGAGGCUCGAAAGCGUGGGGAGCAAACAGG
rnacentral:rRNA from 1 species